UUCCACGAUGGAGUUUUGUUCUUUUGCUCAUUGCACUAAAUCCUGUUGCUGAUCCCUGUUUGGGGCCGCACUGCCUUUAUGAAAUGUAACACUCACGGAGAAGGUCUGCAGCUUCACUCCUGGGGUUGGCCAGACCACAAACCCACCAGGAGGAAUGAACAACUCCAGACAGGAGGAACGAACUACUCCAGAUGCACCACCUUAAGAGCCUUGACACUCACUGUGUAGGUCUGCAGCUUCACUCCUGAAACCAGCCAGACCACGAACCCACCAGAAGGAAGAAAUUCCAGACACAUCAUAACAUCAGAAAGAACAAAUUCUGGACACGCCAUCUUUAAAAACUGUCACACUGCGAGGGUCUGCAGCUUCAUUCUUGAAGGCAGUGAGACCAAGAAUCCACCAAUUCUGGGCACAUUAGGGGAAUGUCUCUGCCUCUAGGCCAUUCAACAGACCAUGGGGUGGGGAAGAUGCAGGCUUGUCCUCUACCCUGUGACUGUCUGGGCCACCUAAGAGAGGUAGCCUGGAGGAGUGGCCAGGAGCAGAAACUUUGGCAUCACACUGCCUGAGAUGAUACCUGCUAUUAUUUACCAGUUUUGGGGCCUUGGAUAAGGUCCCUCUCUACCCAGCUGAGCCACAUAGAGAGAAUGAAGCCUGCCAUUUUGCACACAGUUUUGCCUUUGCGGCUGUUUAUUUUGCUAAGACUCUUAAACCUGUCAGCGAAGCGGUUUCCAGCCCAGUCUCUGUGGUAAUAAUCUCCCUUUCUAAGAGAUAAGCACCCCGAGUGAGACAGAUUGGAAGACAAACUAACACACCAAAGUUGCUGAGUACACACGACUCUUUAAA
rnacentral:lncRNA from 10 species